rnacentral:lncRNA from 1 species
CUCCUGAGACAGCAAGACCAGACUUUGCCCUUCCUCCUCUCAGCCUACUCAACGUGAAUAUAAUGAGGAUGAAGACCUUUGUAAUGACCUUUUCCCACAUAAUGAAUAGCCAUUGGGAGACACACUUCUGAACACCACCACUGGAAAAUCACACAUGCUGAAAUGGGAGAGUUCCCUGACCCCCUUGCAGGAUAUGUGACAGGAGUGUGGCUCAUCUGUUCAGCUGGAGUGCAUACUCAAACCCCUUAUGAGACAAGGAGUAUGCAGACAGAAGGUGCAGGAACUGGGAAGCAAAAUAUAAACUAGUUAAUUUGAUCUCCAAGAGUUAAGCGGUUUUAAUAUUACUGACAGUAAUAUCAGCAGUGGUGUUGGAACCCCAUGAUCUCAUGAAUCAUAGAUAGCAACUGCUUACUGGACAUUGAAGCUUUAUGGCCAGCUGCCAAAAAAAUAAAUGCACCUUAAUUUUUAAAUUGAAUUAUAAAGCCAAAAAUAUCCUAUUGCUCUAUUCCUCUUAUUUUGGUGUUUACAUGUGACUUUAUAAUUUCCUUCACUUGAAAGAUUUUAACUUUAAAGGAAACUUUACUCUGAACGUUUAGGACAAUUCAUAGAUAAUCAAAUUGAUUAUCAUGUUUUCAAUGUUAAAUAUUACUUCAUAUGUCUUUUUACAACCUUCAGAAUAAGAAAGCCAGCUAUGAAAUACCAAGUCUUGACUAGUAGUGCCACCUAGCAUCACAAAGAAAAAGUUGUUCAACUACUUUGCAAAGCAUUGGAAAUUUAUCAAAUCAUCUAAUAUACUAUCUCCUUGAUCCUUAAUCCAGAGGAAAAUAAGCAGACAUGAUCAAUUAGAAGAAAUGUACACAAAACCUAUGUAAUUUUAGAGAUAGUAUACUACAUAUUAUGAAUGUUUGUGUUUUAGUAAGAUGUAGUUAUGAGAUGUAGCAGUAAGAUAUAAUUUCUGGUUUGCUGACUGAUAUGCUACCGGUUUUUCCUACAAUUUAAGAAAACAUAUUGGGAUUCAAAUGAAUAAAAAUAAUGUUUGUGUACUGAAAUAUUGGCUAUGACCUAAUUUAUAGAAUAAAAAGUAAGUCAUUCAC